rnacentral:ncRNA from 1 species
AGAGUUCUGAGUAAGGGCGUGUGGUGGAUGCCUAGACUGAAGAAGGCGAUGAAGGACGUGGUUUAGCUGCGAUAUGCUUCGGGGAGGUGCUAAGCAACCU